rnacentral:lncRNA from 1 species
UUGAGAUAAUUGUAACUGCAUCCAAUCUGAAAUACAUACAGUUGCGACCACAGAAUAUUCCAAGAAUUAAGUCAAUACACUGUGCCACAGUUAAAGAAAAGGAUUACCAGUACAAGAAUAACUCACAUUUUGUAACCUGGUAUAAGAAGACCAUGUGGUAAAAUGAUAAGAGAAAAAACAAGAACCCUUAUAGUUUCCUUGGAAACAAAUAUAUCUUGUGUAGAACUUCAUCACAUGGUCUAUCUUUUCUCAUAAAGUUGGUGAUAGGCACACAUACAAUAUGUUUGGCGACAACUACUUUCACUAAAAGUAGUUUAUCCUACAAGAGAGGAUAAUCGCAUGAUGAGAGGUUACAAUCAUCUAUCCUGCAAAAAAAAAGAGAGGUUACAAUCGGUUCAUAGCCCAUCUUUGUGGUCAAGCAAGUUAUGCUACAGAACUGCACAAAGUAUUCUUGAAUUUGGUGUUACAAUAUACUAUAUAUCAUCCAAAAUACUUUGACUAAAAACAAGCCAGUGCAAUUCGUUAACUUGAAACAUCAUAAUAUGCAAUUUCAUGUUUCAAACGAACAUAUUAACAUAAUCGAACCCAUUAGCAAGGCUCCAGCAACUUGAUUGAACAGAAAAAAAGUAGUAAAAUACAUUUGUUUAGAAGGUUCAUCAUCCUUCUAAGGUAUUGGCAAUGGCAGCAUCUUCUAUUCGCUCCUGGUAUAUGGUUGCUCUGUAAGAUUGAUAGAAUCAAAGUCAAUUGUAUGGAUCCAAGAGAUUAUGAUUACUCUAUAUGCAUUUAGGAAAAUAUUACCACCACAAACAAGGGCCAGGUCCUCGUCAUCCCCCUCC